rnacentral:lncRNA from 1 species
UUUUGUAUUCCAUUUAUAUGACAUUUCUAGAAAAGACAAACUCAAGACAGUAAAUCAGUGGUUGCCAGGAGCUGGAGUGGGAGUGGAGAGUGACUGCAGGAGGGAUCUUUUUGGGAUAAUGGAAAGGUUCUAAAACUGGAUUGUGGUGAUUGUUGCAUAACUAUAAAUUUGUGAAAAAUUACUGAACCGUAAAGUAAUUUAUGGGGUUUUAAUAGCCCAUUGAUUUAUGUUUGGUAUAAAGUUGGUGGUAGAGGGAGUUUGAUUUUAGUUGAGAUGAGGUGGGCAAACACCCCAUGGGCAUUUAAAAAUUCUGUAGAGCUGUGGUUUUGGUUCACUAUGAUAUGAGGAUGUGUGCUGUUUUUUCAACAAAAUUGUAACUGCAUUUUUUUCUAUAGAAAGUUUCUUGAAUUUUCAUUGGUUUUUGAAAGAGCUAGUUGUUUAUGUUUUGCAUUUUAUUGUUUUAGGUUCGUUACCGUGAACGCAUCACCAUUCUUCGAGGGAAUCAUGAGAGCAGACAGAUCACACAAGUUUAUGGUUUCUAUGAUGAAUGUUUAAGAAAAUAUGGAAAUGCAAAUGUUUGGAAAUAUUUUACAGAUCUUUUUGACUAUCUUCCUCUCACUGCCUUGGUGGAUGGGCAGAUCUUCUGUCUACAUGGUGGUCUCUCGCCAUCUAUAGAUACACUGGAUCAUAUCAGAGCACUUGAUCGCCUACAAGAAGUUCCCCAUGAGGUAUGACUUUU